rnacentral:rRNA from 1 species
GACGAAGGGGGCUAGCGUUGUUCGGAAUUACUGGGCGUAAAGCGAGUGUAGGCGGUUGUCCAAGUUGGAUGUGAAAGCCUUGAGCUCAACUCAAGAAAUGCAUUCAGGACUGGGUGACUAGAGGACCGGAGAGGAUAGUGGAAUUCCCAGUGUAGUGGUGAAAUACGUAGAGAUUGGGAAGAACACCAGUGGCGAAGGCGGGUCUCUGGGCAACAACUGACGCUGAGGAGCGAAAGCGUGGGGAGCGAACAGG